rnacentral:rRNA from 1 species
GACGAACGCUGGCGGCGUGCCUAAUACAUGCAAGUCGAGCGAGCGGAACUAACAGAUUUACUUCGGUAAUGACGUUAGGAAAGCGAGCGGCGGAUGGGUGAGUAACACGUGGGGAACCUGCCCCAUAGUCUGGGAUACCACUUGGAAACAGGUGCUAAUACCGGAUAAGAAAGCAGAUCGCAUGAUCAGCUUUUAAAAGGCGGCGUAAGCUGUCGCUAUGGGAUGGCCCCGCGGUGCAUUAGCUAGUUGGUAAGGUAAAGGCUUACCAAGGCGAUGAUGCAUAGCCGAGUUGAGAGACUGAUCGGCCACAUUGGGACUGAGACACGGCCCAAACUCCUACGGGAGGCAGCAGUAGGGAAUCUUCCACAAUGGACGCAAGUCUGAUGGAGCAACGCCGCGUGAGUGAAGAAGGUUUUCGGAUCGUAAAGCUCUGUUGUCGGUGAAGAAGGAUAGAGGUAGUAACUGGCCUUUAUUUGACGGUAAUCAACCAGAAAGUCACGGCUAACUACGUG